GAAGGGCUCCUCAAGUGCCCCCAUAGUGGAAGCCCAGGCAGAGGAGGCGCCAAGAGCGAGUGAGGGCUGUGAGGACUGCCAGCACGCUGUCACCUCUCAGCAUUGCCCAAGGAGAGUGGGCUAUGCGGGAGGAAAGAGAGAACUAGAAAGGAUUAUCUUGAUUAUUUAUAGAAAAGGUACAAGUGCUCCAUGGAGAAAAUGGUGAUUCAGCGCCUGAGCCAUGAAAUAUACAAGAUGAGCCUGGAGAAUCCUGCAGUUCUAGAAAGGUGCUCCUUGACAUCCUAUGAAAGAAUGUCCUUGAAGAAAGAUGCUAAAAUGUUCAACGAUUUUUUUAAAGCAGAAAGUCUGAAGUAGCUGCGGUGAGUGACAGCUGAACACAAAUUUCUGACUACUAGAAGAGGAGUCAUGUUAACAGUACAUAAAUAUUCACAGAGAUGGUAUCUUUAAAUAUAACUUGCAAAUAAUCUCACAGUAAAAAUGUAUUUUUAUAUUACCCAGUGGAAUUAAAGUGAACUUUUCU
rnacentral:lncRNA from 10 species